AGUUAGCAUUGGUCGUUUCUAUGCUUCUUCGUGGUCAUUGAUCGGCCAAUGUUCGCUUU
rnacentral:pre_miRNA from 1 species